rnacentral:rRNA from 1 species
AGUCAUAUGCUUGUCUCAAAGAUUAAGCCAUGCAUGUCUCAGUAUAAGCUUCUACACGGCGAAACUGCGAAUGGCUCAUUAAAACAGUUAUCGUUUAUUUGGUGGUCAUUCAUUACAUGGAUAACCAUGGUAAUUCUAGAGCUAAUACAUGCGCCCAGACCCAACUUUGUGGAAGGGUUGUGUUUAUUAGUUACAGAACCAACCCAGGCUCUGCCUGGUCUUGUGGUGAUUCAUAAUAACCGAAUGAAUCGCAUUGCAUCAGCUGGCGAUGAAUCAUUCAAGUUUCNGACCUAUCAGCUUCCGACGGUAGGUAUUGGCCUACCGUGGCAAUGACGGGUAA